rnacentral:rRNA from 1 species
UACGUAGGGUGCGAGCGUUAAUCGGAAUUACUGGGCGUAAAGCGUGCGCAGGCGGUUUUGUAAGCCAGAUGUGAAAGCCCCGGGCUUAACCUGGGAAUGGCAUUUGGGACUGCAAGGCUGGAGUGUGGCAGAGGAGACGUGGAAUUCCUGGUGUAGCAGUGAAAUGCGUAGAUAUCAGGAGGAAUACCGAUGGCGAAGGCAGGUCUCUGGGCUGACACUGACGCUCAUGCACGAAAGCGUGGGGAGCAAACAGG